AUCAUCACAUCCAAAUUAUUGGGCCUCAGAUCGCACCCACAGCCAUUUCUUCUCAUGCUUCACGUAGAGAAGUUCCAGCUGGGAACUCCCUAUGCGGAGAGAUCUACAGCUAGAAAAGGUGAUCAGGCGGUCAUUGCAGAAAUAAGGACAGGCAGCCGGUGCUCCUUGCCGGGACCUGGUCUAUAGUAUCUGCCCCCAAAAGUGAGCUCGCCUCUGUGGGCCCACUUGCUCUGGUUUUGUGUGUUUUCUGCCAGCCCCACAAGAGAUCCCACAGGAGAGUCAACUCGGGACACAUGGUGAUGGAGCACCUGGCUUGGAGCCUAGUUCAGAAGUCAGGUUGCAAGAAGCUUUCUGGAGACCACACUAAAAACUGAAGAUGUGGACCUGUCAAGAAGCUUGGGUCUGAGAUAGAUCAGUCAGCUAAGAGCAAACACAGCCAAGAUCCCGAGGCGUUUACCGGAAGUCCUGUGGACCAUCUGACUGCGGGCGGCUGGGCUCCUGGAAGCCAGACAACCCCUCCAGCCCAGGCCUGCUUAGCUCCGCCCUCUCUCCUUCUCUUGAGGUGAGAAGGCGUUUCCUUAGAAGACAAAUGGCAUCAGCUGGGUACUCACUGAGCUUCUCUGCAUGGCCCACUCCUUCCCUUCCCAUUGAGCAACGCCCUUUCGACUUGCAUAUCUGGUCCAACUGAACGUGCUUGUUAUGGGAACUAGACAUUCCAUCAAAUUUGUCUUCAUCUGGAGACCCAGGAGGAAGGGGACCUGGGACUUUCUCCGGCCACCAUGCAGCACUGGGCCUUGAUUUAGUUUUAUGUAAAUUGUGCUGCUUUUCCACUUUUGCCCCCAGAAGAGAGUAGGAGGUCACAAGCCCUCAUCCCUCUCUUGGCCACAGGGAUCAAAUUGCUCUGGCCCAGGAAGGGGUCCAUUUGCGAUCCUCUUCUCCUCCACCCUCCCCACAGCCCGGAGGAGGUAAGGAGCUGGCCGGGGUCACCCCCAGACCACCUCUUCCCAAGGGGGCUGUUCCUGCCUUUCCUCCGAGGAUUCUUGGACUGCCCUUGGCAG